UGGUUCACUUUAUAUUUGAAUAUAGUUCAUUUUUUGUGCCAUGACCAAAAAUGAGCCAGAAAAACGGAUGAACCGCGUGGAUAUGGAAAAUAUGUAUCAAGGUGGGCCCUACGGUCACGGCCAGACAGAAGUCGGUGACACCCUGACUUGACCGAAUCCGCUGCCGCAUGUCUUCAGGUGUAUGAGGAGCGUAUAAUAUAAUAAGAGGACAGUAUGUGGACGUCCUCAGGUGUCCAAGGACGAUACAGUUGUUCUCAACUUUUUCUUCUCUCCAUUUAUCAAUAUGAUAUUCUACACGGGUUGCAGCAGCACGAAAAAGAGAGGCAAAUAGGUUCAUGGGUUUCAUGAUCAUUCUCCAUGUGAGACUCUGGAAAGCUGCUAUGAUGGCGAUGAUGAUGAUGAUGGCACGCAAUACCUUGGAUUAUCUCCCACCUUUCAACGCAACUGCCACCUAUCAUCAAUCAUGCCCUUUCUUCUUGUCCUACAGUCAUCGUCGUCAUCAUCACGCCCACCCUACAUCCCUAACCCUGACCCAUCACCAUCACAAUCAUUGCCCUUCAUCUUCAUCCCCUUUUAUCCUUCUCAUUCUUCCUCAACCACUCAAAGAAGAAGAAGAUGAUGAUGAUAAAGAAGAUAGUUUUCAGUAGCUGUGAUGGCCUUCCUCUCUCUCUCUCUCUCUCAACCUCACUUGUCUUUCUCUUUUCCCGGGGAAUCAAGCGCAUCGGUCCGAUCCUUGCCCAGCUCAAGGAGAUUUAUUCUAGUAUGUUUUUUGUUUUGGCUUUUAUUCGAUGAAUAGCAAUAAUAAAAACAUUAUUACAGUGAUGUUGUUAGAUAAGAUAAUAGUAUACAUUUUUGGUGUUUUGGGUUUCCUUUGGGUUAGGUGAUUGGAGAUAUGUUUUAUGUUAUGUGCUUCUUUUUGAACUUGUGGUAAUUUUAGAUUGUUUUGUACGGCUUUGAUUGGCUUGCUUUGCAUAGUCAUGUGGAAGAUGGUGUUGGGCUAUUGUUCUCUUGGUGCAAGUUUAUCAAAAUUUUCAUUUAAUAGAUAUUUUUAUUUCACUUUCUCUAAGAAGAUCAUGACAUGUAUUUUCUUGAGAGCAUGCAAUUGAAUCAUAGAAGAAGAGGGUUGUGUUUUCAGCUGCCCAUUUUGCCGACCGCUGGCGUCUCAGAUGGGAGGGUGUUAGCCAAGCCUAUUGAGGGGGAGGACGAAGACCAUGAAUCUGAGGAUCCUACCUUACAUGUAUAACAAACCAAAAAUAACUUUUAUUUGGUUAUCUAAAUAUUAGAUUGCUGUACAUUCAUUGAAUGGUUGAAAGUGAAAAUUAUCCGAUGUUCUCAUGGAAAAAGAAUAAAAAAGUUUCCAUGUAUCUGAGGAUAGGAUUGUUUAAACAAUCUGAUUUUUAGAUCUUAACUUAGUGAUGGUGGUUUCUACAA